rnacentral:rRNA from 1 species
CCAGCAGCCGCGGUAAUACGUAGGGUGCAAGCGUUGUCCGGAUUUAUUGGGCGUAAAGAGCUCGUAGGCGGUUAGUCACGUCGGAUGUGAAAACCCAGUGCUUAACACUGGGCCUGCAUUCGAUACGGGCUGACUAGAGUGUUGUAGGGGAGACUGGAACUCCUGGUGUAGCGGUGAAAUGGGCAGAUUCAGGAAGAACACCGUGGCGAAGGCGGUCUCUGGCACUACUGACGCUGAGGAGCGAAGCGUGGGAGCAACAGGAUAGAUACCUGUAGUCACGCGUAAACGGUGGGCGCUAGGUGUGGGGAACAUCCACGUCCUCGUGCGCAGCUAACGCAUAAGCGCCCCGCCUGGGGAGUACGGCCGCAAGGCUAAAACUCAAAGGAAUUGACGGGGGCCCGCACAAGCGGCGGAGCAUGCGGCUUAAUUCGAUGCAACGCGAAGAACCUUACCUAGGCUUGACAGUUGGGGAAAUCUGGCAGAGAUGCCAGGUCCGUAAGGGCCCCAAAACAGGUGGUGCAUGGCUGUCGUCAGCUCGUGUCGUGAGAUGUUGGGUUAAGUCCCGCAACGAGCGCAACCCUCGUCGUAUGUUGCCAGCGGAUAAUGCCGGGGACUCAUACGAGACUGCCGGGGUCAACUCGGAGGAAGGUGGGGACGACGUCAAGUCAUCAUGCCCCUUAUGUCUAGGGCUGCACGCAUGCUACAAUGGCCGGUACAGAGGGCUGCGAUACCGCGAGGUGGAGCGAAUCCCAAAAAGCCGGUCUCAGUUCGGAUUGGGGUCUGCAACUCGACCCCAUGAAGUCGGAGUCGCUAGUAAUCGCAGAUCAGCAACGCUGCGGUGAAUACGUUCCCGGGCCUUGUACACACCGCCCGUCACGUCACGAAAGUCGGUAACACCCGAAGCCGGUGGCCUAACCCCUUGUGGGAAGGAGCCGUCGAAGGUGGGACUGGCGAUUGGGACGAAGUCGUAACAAGGUAGCCGAU